CCCUGGUUAGCUAGUUGGUAGAGCGCUCCACCUGUCAUGGAGAGGUCCCGGGUUCGAUACCCGGACUAGGCG
rnacentral:tRNA from 2 species